rnacentral:rRNA from 1 species
GAUUAACGCUGGCGGCGUGCAUAACACAUGCAAGUCGAACGAUGAGACUUAAAUGAUUUCUUCGGAAUGAACUUAAGUGGAUUAGUGGCGGACGGGUUAGUAACGCGUGAGUAACCUGCCUUACACAAGGGGAUAGCCGUUGGAAACGACGAAUAAUACCCUAUGAAACUAUCACUUCGCAUGAAUCGAUAGUCAAGGUGGUAGCGGUGUAAGAUGGACUUGCUUCUGAUUAGCUAGUUGGAGAGAAAAAAGCCCACCAAGGCAACGAUCAGUAGCCGGCGUGAGAGAGUGUACGGCCGCAUUGGGACUGAGGCACGGCCCAGACUCCUGCGGGAAGCAGCAGUGGGGAAUUUUGCACAAUGGGGGAAACGCUGAUGCAGCGACGCCGCGUGAUUGAGAAGGCCUUCGGGUUGUAAAAAUCUUUUGUAUAGGAAGAAAAUGACAGUACUAUACGAAUAAGGUCCGGCUAAUUACGUG